AUGAGUGAUCUGUUAUUUUUAAACCGUGACCCCUAGUUCUAGAUUCUCCCACAAGAAGAAAUCGUCCACCAGGUCAAGUUCUCUCAGGAUCUUACAUCUUAGAAAUCAUCUUUGACUCUUCUAAACUCCAAGGCCUUGUUGUUUCCGUCAACUCCCAUUGGUCCGCUGCAGAUUUUAAACAGGAAAUCCCUGGAUCCCCGGACAAUUUGUCAUCAAUCUCCCCGAGACCAAGACAUCUCCUCGGGAGCUGGAUGCAUCCUCCACGCCGGGGCCCCGCAUAGCAACUGGAGGAGGGGCGCGUAGCAACGGGAGGAAGGGGCCUCGCUUAGCAACGGGAGGUAAACCCCUUCCUCCCUUAGCAACCGGCUCCGGGACCGGACGAUGGCGGUGGUCGGUGCCGGGAACAGACAGCGCUGAAGCCCGAAGGAGUCACUCAGAUCCUUGGCCUCAUAACGUCGACAUUUAACCCACCUUCUUCCUCCUUCGGGGUCGCUGAGGCCUAGCUAUUCCCCAUCCCCACCUCCCGGCCGCCUCGAGCUGUGGUCUGUGGGGGGAGGAACAGUCCGCUCUGAGUCCCCUCCGCGUAUUUCACUUUGACACAAACCGACGGAGAAACCAAAAAUAAAAAUGCAUCCCGAGCCCCGGAAGCUGAGGUGUCGAUGUUCCGGAUUCCGAGGGCCGGACGAAUGUGUUCUGCUGUUUAAGAGAGCUCGCAGUACAGCAGGACAACAAGCAAAAUGAACGUCAUUUACAAAAUACCUUGCAAGAACUGUGACAAACACUACAUUGGACAAACAGGCAGAAAGCGAGCCACCAGGAUGCAUGAACAUCAACUAGCCACAAAAAGACAUGACCCACUAUCACUAGUAUCCUUACAUGCAGAUGAGGAAGGACACCACUUUGAUGGGGACAACACAUCCAUCCUAGGACAAGCCAAACAGAGACACGCACAAGAAUUCCUAGAAGCAUAGCAUUCCAACCGGAACUCCAUCAACAAACACAUUGAUUUGGAGCCCAUCUACCACCCUCUGAGAAAAACAACAGGAAAUGACACCAUCAACACAGGAAAUGACAUCACCAACCCAAGGAAACCUAAACAGAUAAAUAGAAAGCGGGACAUAACACCAGCGCUUCACCCACUGGGUGGCCCACUGAUGAUGGUAAUGAAAGGUCUGAAAACGAACCUUCCAGCUCAGCGAGCAAACUUACAUCCAGAACCUCAACCUGAGCUACAAAUCUUCUCAAAACUUGCUAUAACUAACUAAAGUUCCUUCAACAGCAGCUUCCAAACCCAGCACUUGAGAGACAAGGGCAGGAGAUAUGCUGGAACACUACCACCUGCAACUUUCCCUCCAAGUUGAAGCUGCACACUGUCCUGACUUGGAAAUAUAUUGCUGUUCCUUCAGUGUCACCGGGUCAAAAUCCUGAAACUUCCUCUCUAACAGUGCUGAAAAUGUCCCUACACCCAAGGACUGCAGCAGUUCAAGAAGGCACUUUGCCACAACCUUCUACAGUAAAUGCUGGCUUAGCCAAUGACACUCACCCCAUGAAUGAAUAAAAUAAGCUUAAAAACUUGUCACAUGAUACACCUGUAUAAUUGUCUUAUAUGAUGAAUUUUGUGCAGAUCAUUACUGAAUUGUUGUAUUUUAAAUAAUACAAUUCUCUGUUCUUAAUUUAUCGCCUACAUCUAUGCCAAUAUGAGCAUCUACAUAUAUAACUGUAGUUUUCCUGGACAUGUGUGGCUUAACUGCUGUAAGUUCUUUGGGAUAGCGCCUCUCAACCGAGGGUGUGGUUUGUUGGGGAGGGGGUUGGGUGGUAGCGUAGGGACAAUUUUGUAGACAUUUUCCAGGUUGUUCGCAAUAUGAGGUGGAUAAGGAAGUAACUCUCACACUGGACUCUGAGCUGGAAUGUAUCGCCACCCAUUGUAAUGGCAAUUUAAUUUAAUUUUAAUAAGUUCCUUUCGUAAAGUUUCCGUUAGUUUGAUUUUAUAACAGUGCCUCACCAGAGCAUCCCUAAACCGAUAUUUGUUUCUUUAUCAAAUGUGUAGACAGACUCUACAAUGACCAGGAGGCAUAUCCAUCUCAUUGAUAGCUGUAAGAAAGAAAAUGCCUAUUUUUUGAAACGUAUUAAUAAAAUACUUGGCAUACAACACA